GUUAAAGUGGCAGAGACCGGUAAUUGUAUAAAACUUAAACCUUUAUUCUCAGAGGUUCAAAUCCUCUCUUUAACA
rnacentral:tRNA from 1 species